UGCGCCUCAUUCGUUGUGAUUCGGUCGAGAAAGGAUAACGCGCGACAUGGAAACUCCGUCUUUUCCGUGAGCUUUGAGAGGGGGGAUAUUUUCUUCACAGAUUUUUGCAGCCAGAAAAAAAAACAGCGUUCCCUUUGUGGAAAGGUGAAAUUUUAGGCAAACGAAAAUAUUUGCGAGUUGUGGGUGGUUGAAGCAUGUGAGCGAUAUUUUUGAAGCAAAAUGUGAUGAAAUUUUAGAGGAAAGGUUUUGAAAUAGUGCGGGUUUCCAGAAAGUGAUCCAACGCAAGUUGUGACAAAGGAAAAUAUUAGCUUUCCAUGUUGAAUCAAACAAUAAAACAUAUAAAAUUCUCCCACUUUGGCAGCCGGAGAAUGUGUUUUUCGUGCCCGUGUAGUGUCAUCGUGCAAAAGUAAAGGAAAAAUAAAAAAGUUUCAUCAAGCCACAUUCCGAGAAGAGUGUCCGGGCAGAAUUUUGGAGGAUUUUUCCUCUUUCCACUAGCUGGUUGAAGGAAUAAUUUUUAAGGAAAGGUGAAAUUCUGUAGACGUGAGAAAAUCCAUAUCCUCACUCUCCUGCGUGGUUCGAACCUGUCGGGAGUCCCUAGAGUGUGUCUGCCACCUGAAGUUGGCCGAUUUCUCGGAACUCUGCCGGUGGAAGGAAAAAGGUGCAAAUUAGGAUUACAUUCAACAGUGUUCGUACGAGCGAUUACUAAUCGUCGUAAAUAGUAGAACUCACCAACACCACCACCAUGCACGCCGUCGGAAUUCACUCGGCGCUGGCCAUCAAGCGGCAACGAAAGCGGCGCGAUGUCCAGCGGAAGGUCCGCGAGCGCCGCUACAGCAUACAGAGCUCCGAGAGCGGGGAAACGCACUCCCCGCACGGUUCCACCCGCCGGAAGUUCCACCCCCACAAGGUGCACAUGACCGAGAACAAUAACUUAGACACGAAAGUAGUCACAAGCAUUGGAAUGCUGCACAUAGGAGUCGUAUUCGUAGUGUUCGGAAUCUUUUUACUAGGUGCUGGAUUUUUUCCAGAUAAUUUAUCAAAUCAACCGGCACAAACCUGGCAUCUACUGGGCAAAGGCUCCUGGUGGAACGAGCUGAUAUGCACGGGACUGUUCGCCGUCGGUCUCGGCAUCUUCUUAAUCAUCCUCAACUGUGUGAUAAGCAAUCGAGAGGAGCAGGACCUCGAGAGCUACGUCCAGCGGCAGCUGACACGAUCGAGAUCCGGUCACCGCUUGGAGCGAGACGUCGAGACUGGUGGCCUUACGACACGCCACCACCGCAAAGCCAUGCAAAUCCAGAAGGGUGCCGCCGAAAGGGGCUUGGACGACCUGUCCAACUCGAACAUUCUGCUGACGCCAACCAGUAGCGAGGUGGUGACCCCCACAACUCCCUCCGGAGCGUCCAAUCGUAUUACUACCACUACCACUACUACUACUACUACUACCGCUACUAAAGAUACUAGCAAAAUGCCAAAGAAUACCAAAACACUAGUGAGAUAAGUCCGUGUAACGUGUUAAAAUCGUAUAACGUGUACCGCGUGUAACGUGCGUAAACGUUAGAAGCAAUCACUACCAGAGAGUACAAAGUAACCAUAAGUACCCCCACCCCCUCCGUUUUUAACUGUCCGGAAUAUGUCCGCGCUUCGAACCGUUCAAGCGAAUGUCUCGUGACCUCGUUGUCUCCCAAGUCGAAGAAUAACAUAGAACAAAAAAACUCAAGAACAUCGUAUAAAUCCCAACAAAAAAAACAGAAACAUAUGAAUGCGAUUUAGGUACUCGGAGCAUCCGGUGAGAUAUUGCUAGAGAAGAUCCUGGAGGAGGACAGCAGUUACGGUGAUCCGGAUUACUACUCGCGGAACGCCGGACAAUCGCCGCCGGGCGCCGAUAAUGACAAACGGUUGCUGCUCGGUAA
rnacentral:misc_RNA from 1 species